rnacentral:rRNA from 1 species
GACGAACGCUGGCGGCGUGCUUAACACAUGCAAGUCGAACGGAAAGGCCCUUCGGGGUACUCGAGUGGCGAACGGGUGAGUAACACGUGGGUGAUCUGCCCUGCACUUUGGGAUAAGCCUGGGAAACUGGGUCUAAUACCGAAUAGGACCACGCUCUUCAUGGGGUGUGGUGGAAAGCUUUUGCGGUGUGGGAUGGGCCCGCGGCCUAUCAGCUUGUUGGUGGGGUAAUGGCCUACCAAGGCGACGACGGGUAGCCGGCCUGAGAGGGUGACCGGCCACACUGGGACUGAGAUACGGCCCAGACUCCUACGGGAGGCAGCAGUGGGGAAUAUUGCACAAUGGGCGCAAGCCUGAUGCAGCGACGCCGCGUGAGGGAUGACGGCCUUCGGGUUGUAAACCUCUUUCAGUACCGACGAAGCGCAAGUGACGGUAGGUACAGAAGAAGGACCGGCCAACUACGUGCCAGCCGCCGCGGUAAGAC